CAGACAAGAAAAGUGCCGACGACAAGUGCAAACAAGACCUCAAACUCCCAGUCCUUCUGCCUCAGCCUCCCAAAGAGUGGGCAAAGAGACCAUUAGGCUGACUCGUUCCCUUCUGUGUCCCCGAUUGCAAGAGCAGCUGAUGUACCUCCAGAAGAAAUUGAAAUACAAGGAGGACGAAGUGGACAGGCACUCCGAGGACCUGAAAGACAUGAAGAAGCUAGAGCAGGCGGAGAAAAAACGCCUCCCAGG
rnacentral:lncRNA from 1 species